GCUGCAAGGGCCGUAGCUCAGUGGCAGAGCACCUGCUUGGCAUGCAGAAGGGCAGUGGUUCCAUCCCUGGCAGCC